CAGUCGCCGCGGUAAUACGAAGGGGGCUAGCGUUGUUCGGAUUUACUGGGCGUAAAGGGCGCGUAGGCUGGCGAAUAAGUCAGGGGUGAAAUCCCAAGGCUCAACCUUGGAACUGCCUUUGAUACUGUUUGUCUUGAGUUCGAGAGAGGUAAGUGGAACUGCGAGUGUAGAGGUGAAAUUCGUAGAUAUUCGCAAGAACACCAGUGGCGAAGGCGGCUUACUGGCUCGAAACUGACGCUGAGGCGCGAAAGCGUGGGGAGCAAACAGGAUUAGAUACCCCUGUAGUCCCUGUCUCUUAUAC
rnacentral:rRNA from 1 species